rnacentral:rRNA from 1 species
CCUACGGGGGGCAGCAUUGGGGAAUAUUGGACAAUGGGGGCAACCCUGAUCCAGCCAUGCCGCGUGUGUGAAGAAGGCCCUCGGGUUGUAAAGCACUUUCAGUGAGGAAGAACGCCUGGUGGUUAAUACCCAUCAGGAAAGACAUCACUCACAGAAGAAGCACCGGCUAACUCCGUGCCAGCAGCCGCGGUAAUACGGAGGGUGCGAGCGUUAAUCGGAAUUACUGGGCGUAAAGCGCGCGUAGGUGGCUUGAUAAGCCGGUUGUGAAAGCCCCGGGCUCAACCUGGGAACGGCAUCCGGAACUGUCAAGCUAGAGUGCAGGAGAGGAAGGUAGAAUUCCCGGUGUAGCGGUGAAAUGCGUAGAGAUCGGGAGGAAUACCAGUGGCGAAGGCGGCCUUCUGGACUGACACUGACACUGAGGUGCGAAAGCGUGGGUAGCAAACAGGAUUAGAUACCCUAGUAGUC